UAUUAAUCUUGUUUAUAUGUUUGUACUAUAAAUAUUUAUUGACGAAGUAUGGACACACCAACAACUUACGCCCUAGAAAUAUGUUAAAGUGCAUACAAUAUUAUAAAAACCAAUAAAAUAUGAUAAAAAUAUGUUUGGUUAAAUUUAAAGCGUUAGGUAUUUUACGGUGGUUAUGGAAUGGAAGUUGGGGUUGAUGAUCGUUCGCCCCACAGACGAUGCCGUCCAAGCUAAGAGCAAAGGGCGGUUCAACCUUGAAGGCUCUAUUGCCAUAGCCCAUGGUCCCGCAAUACUAACUCUCAGCCGCUUGGGUCCGCGAGUGCCAAAUUUGCAAAAUUGUGCGCUUGAUUGCGUGGUUUUAACAAAUUGCUCAUCCCAACAAACAGCCAAAUUUGGUCAAAUAUAUAUUCAAUAUUCGCUAUUGUUACGCCACACAUGCUGAGAUAAAAUGUUGCAUACCGUAACCAAGUAUUAAACAAUCGUUUUGCUGAAGAUUUUUUAUUGGCAUACUUCCAAUUCUGCAAAAACAGUUGAUGUCAAUACAAUGUUAAACCAGCCGCUAGGAUUAUAAAAAAUUAGUCCAAAAUUCCAUUACCACUAAAACAAAAAACACCACAACUACUUCAAACACAAACUCGUUAUCCAUAAUUUAUCCAACAAACACAAAAUCAGCAUUUUAAGGAGUAUGCUGGUUUGCUUUUAUAAUUGCAGAGCAAGCCAGCAACCAAUCAGUCGUCAUCGUCUUCCCAUUAUCAUCAACAGAAAGUGCCUAAGCAUUCUAGUGGACGCUCGACUCCAUCCCCAGCUGAUAACUGUCGCAAGAAGAAGUAUGGACACACUAACAAUUGCGCCCUAAGAAGAAGUUGAAGACAAGAAGUAAAAAAAGAUACAAAAUAUGUUUGGUUAAAUUAACAAAACAAUGUCUUCGCUCAUGUUUAAAGAGUGACAUAAAAAAUUAAAAAAAAACACUUUUUUUGAGUUAAUGACUUAAAAUCCUUACAAUUUUGAAACCUUAAAAUGCGUUUUCUGCUACAUCUUUUUUUGAGUUAUGCAACUUUUUAAAGACUUGAGCGUUAUUAUGUUUCUUUAGAAACAAAUUCACCUUAUAAGGGCAAAUUAAUAUAAUAGUUUUGUUGCGUUCAAGUCAAACUUUCGCAAAUUAAUCACUUAUCGUUGAUAUGAAAGAAGACUUCAGAGCUAAAUCAACAAUUUUAUCCUGGAGCUGGGGCGUAGCAGUGCUCUUUACUUCAGUCACUUGAUUUCUCCAUGUACAAUAAUGCCCGUUUUCUUGGCCUGUGUAGAGUAGCAACUUCAGCGGACUCCUAUGGACAAAAUAUUUAAAUAAAAAUUUAGAAAGUAUUAAUUUAAAACUCCACAUACAUUUGUGCGAUACUCUCUCCCUGCUGCGGAUUUCUGGAUCAUUUGUUCGCCUUCAGCUAUGGCUUUUGUGGCAAUGGCAAAGCUUCGGUACGAAUGUUGAACUAAAGCAACAGGCAUCUUAAUAUGAAAACCAUAAAAUCUUAUGUGAGAAUCGUGUUUUUUUAUAUACAUACCAUUUCAGUAUGCCUUUCAUUAUUGCUCAGCAAAUUUUUUAUUUUGUAAUAAUUAAUAAAACAUAGCGAUUUUGAUCGCCAAAAUCAGUAAAGUUUCCGAUAGGGUAUCUCUGUUUUAAUAAGUGGAAAAACGGAUUUCCGGCAUUUUUUCACUUAAAAGAACGUAGUACCGCCAUUAAAACGCGAACAUUUUAAGAAAAUCUGUUAUGUCGUUAUUUAGUCUUUAUAGACACACAAACAAAAACAAAUUGAUUUUUAUAUAUAAUAAAAAUGUGAGCCCAUUCUUGUUUGAACCGUUGAGUGGAGCGUACGUAUAAUUAUUUAA